UCUCAGGCUGUGACCGUCUCGAGGAAAGAAGCACUUUCUGUUGUCUAAAGAAAAGGAAGUGUUUCCUUCCCGAGGGUUACGGUUUGAGA
ensembl:miRNA